UGCUUCUCUGCUGACGAGCGGCGGACGGGUGAGUAAUGUAUGGGGAUCUGCCUGAUGGCGGGGGAUAACUACUGGAAACGGUAGCUAAUACCGCAUAAUGUCUGCGGACCAAAGCGGGGGACCUCCGGGCCUCGCGCCAUCAGAUGAACCCAUAUGGGAUUAGCUUGUAGGUAAGGUAACGGCUUACCUAGGCGACGAUCCCUAGCUGGUCUGAGAGGAUGAUCAGCCACACUGGGACUGAGACACGGCCCAGACUCCUACGGGAGGCAGCAGUGGGGAAUAUUGCACAAUGGGCGCAAGCCUGAUGCAGCCAUGCCGCGUGUAUGAAGAAGGCCUUCGGGUUGUAAAGUACUUUCAGUCGGGAGGAAGGU
rnacentral:rRNA from 1 species